GUAUUAUGGAAAACAUGAAAACGUACUGCAUAUUAAUUCAGCAACUUACCGGAUAUAGAACCUUACUAUAUGCUCUACCGUUCUAAGCAAAUUCAUUAAGGCAGCAACGAACCCAGCAAAAAUCGGAGCAGCAACAUUAGUUAAUUUCGUUACGGGUUUCGCUCACCGCUUCAAUCUUGUUGUUCCGUUUUGUCGUGUUGUUGAAUCUUGGCUUUCUUCGAAGUGAAGUAAGGUGGAGGAAGAUUAGUUCUUGGAAUAUAAGGCUGAAGGAGCGACGAAGUAAGCUUGGUUACGAUUGAUCUACGACAGGUACAGAUACUCGAUUUGGUGAUCCUCCAGCUUAGGAUUUCUACUCAGCUGUCUUAGAGAGCUCCAUUGUUCCGGAGCCUAGACUUUUGGUACAGAUCUUUUGAUGUAUAUAUAUAUGUUUAUCCAGGGAUACGGCGGGGCCCUGUCCCGUCAUAUUUCACUAUCGAUACUCUUAGAGGUCUGUAGACAUAUGUGUGGGUUGUGUACAAGUUUUGUUCAGCUGUGUCUAUAUGGCUUGCGUAUGAUAUUGAUAUGUAAUGACAGCCUUGUCGGCUUACAUAUGGUAUUGACAUGUUGUGGCA